rfam:Chlorocebus sabaeus isolate 1994-021 chromosome 5, whole genome shotgun sequence.
GUGUUCACUUCAGCAGCACAUAUGCUAAAAUCAGAAUGCUAUAGAGAAGAUAGGCGUGACCCCUACGCAACGAGGUCAUGCAAAUUUAUGAAGUGUUUCAUAUUUUA